rnacentral:rRNA from 1 species
AUUGAACGCUGGCGGCAUGCUUUACACAUGCAAGUCGAACGGUAACAGGCCGCAAGGUGCUGACGAGUGGCGAACGGGCGAGUAAUGCAUCGGAACGUGCCCAGUCGUGGGGGAUAACUACUCGAAAGAGUAGCUAAUACCGCAUACGAUCUAUGGAUGAAAGCGGGGGACCGUAAGGCCUCGCGCGAUUGGAGCGGCCGAUGUCAGAUUAGGUAGUUGGUGGGGUAAAGGCUCACCAAGCCAACGAUCUGUAGCUGGUCUGAGAGGACAACCAGCCACACUGGGACUGAGACACGGCCCAGACUCCUACGGGAGGCAGCAGUGGGGAAUUUUGGACAAUGGGCGCAAGCCUGAUCCAGCAAUGCCGCGUGCAGGAAGAAGGCCUUCGGGUUGUAAACUGCUUUUGUACGGAACGAAACGGCUCUGGUUAAUACCCGGGGCUAAUGACGGUACCGUAAGAAUAAGCACCGGCUAACUACGUG